GAUGAAGAACGUAGCGAAAUGCGAUACGUAAUGUGAAUUGCAGAUUUCAGUGAAUCAUCGAAUCUUUGAACGCACAUUGCGCCCGCCAGUAUUCUGGCGGGCAUGCCUGUUCGAGCGUCAUUUCAACCAUCAAGCGCCUCGCUUGUGUUGGGGCCCUGCGGCUGCCGCAGGCCCCUAAAUCCAGUGGCGGGCUCGUCGUCGUACCGAGUGCAGUAAACAUCCUCGCUCAGGGAACCCGACGGGUGCCGGCCGUGAAACCCCCCUCCGCAAGGUUGACCUCGGAUCAGGUAGGAAUACCCGCUGAACUUAAGCAUAUCAAUAAGCGGAGGA
rnacentral:misc_RNA from 1 species